rnacentral:pre_miRNA from 1 species
CGGAUAUGCUGCUGCUCCUUCAGCUGAUGUCUCAUAGAAUCUAGUGGCAGGUGGAGGAUCGAUGAACGGAGCAUUAGGAUGCACU